AUUGAACGCUGGCGGCAGGCCUAACACAUGCAAGUCGAACGAGUGGCGGACGGGUGAGUAAUGUCUGGGAAACUGCCUGAUGGAGGGGGAUAACUACUGGAAACGGUAGCUAAUACCGCAUACUAUCAGAUGCGCCCAGAUGGGAUUAGCUAGUUGGUGGGGUAACGGCUCACCAAGGCGGCGAUCCCUAGCUGGUCUGAGAGGAUGACCGGCCAAACUGGAACUGAAAAAGGGUCCAGACUCCUAGGGGGGGCAGCAGUGGGAAAUAUUGAAAAAUGGGCGCAAGCCUGAUGCAGCCAUGCCGGGUGUAUGAAGAAGGCCUUGGGGUUGUAAAGUACUUUCAGCGGGGAGGCGUUACCCGCAGAAGAAGCACCGGCUAACUCCGUGCCAGCAGCCGCGGUAAUU
rnacentral:rRNA from 1 species